UCCGCUAGUCUUCUUGAAUUUUGUGGAGCUCAAAUAGACAACAAAGCUUUGUGGAACUGAUGAGGUGUUAGCAUAAAUAUAUAGCCUUUAUCAUGUUGAGCUUCUUCAAUAAGUGUUACUCUCUAUUUUUAUAUUUUCAUUUUAUAGAGCAGAAAAAAUUAUUUAUUUUAUUUUUAUGCCACCACAGUGAAUGUACUUAUGGGUUUCAUGCCACUUGUAUACUCACAUGGGGCUUACUAGUUUUAACAUUUUUAUUUUUCUUUUCAAGAUGAUAUGAACCUGAUUAAUUGAACUAGCUAUUUUUAAGAAAAAGUAAAUGAUUUAAAAGGAAAGGGAUAACUACAAAGUUUACCUCUUGGCAAGGCGUUAGGUGUUUUUAAGUCCUUCGAACGGGACUCUCUGUUUUCUUAGUCGUCCUGGAAUUCGCUGGAUGGCGUAGUCGGUGGUUCCGGCGGCGCCUCCUCUUCGUGUAUAACUAUCUUCUCUCUCUACACCUGACUUGGUGCUACGGUCUCCUUGGGACCAUUCUGUUCAAGCUGUAUGUCUUCAGACCUUACCACUUCUCCUUCGUAGUCUGCCCAUCCGUCCUUAAUGAUUUGCCUCCUCUGGUUGUGGUUGCGUCAUCUUCUUCUUGUCCUGAUAUGCUUAGAGUCUUCAACUAUAUAGUUAGGGUCAGUAAAAUAGCGGCGUACCUUCUCAAAGGGGAAGUGCAUGUGGACUUCUCCGGUUCCAAUGUAGAUGAUUGCUUUAAUGGUGCUAAGGAACGGUCUCCCAAGGAUGAUGGGUGGAUCGUACUCGUCUUCUCCCAUGUCAAUAACCUGAAAGUCUGUAUGGACAAAAUGAUCGUCUAUUUUGACAGGGACAUCAAUUACUAUACCUUCAACCUUUCGGAAUGUCUGAUGUGCUAUCUGGAGCUGAAUGUAUGUCGGUUUUAGGGGCAUGGUUCCAAACAAGAGCCGAUAGGUGACUGCGGCCAUUAUGUUGAUGCCCGAUCCGGUGUCGCAAAGCGUCUUGUAGAAGUUGUACCCAUUGAUGG
rnacentral:lncRNA from 1 species